rnacentral:rRNA from 1 species
GACGAACCGUGCGAACGUUGUUCGGAAUCACUGGGCUUAAAGGGCGCGUAGGCGGGCGGGCAAGUCAGAGGUGAAAGCCCACGGCUCAACCGUGGAAGUGCCCCUGAUACUGCUCGUCUGGAGGGGGAUAGGGGCGUGCGGAACUUCCGGUGGAGCGGUGAAAUGCGUAGAUAUCGGAAGGAACACCGGUGGCGAAAGCGGCGCGCUGGAUCCCUGCUGACGCUGAGGCGCGAAAGCCAGGGGAGCAAACGGG